UACGAAGGGUGCAAGCGUUGUCCGGAUUUAUUGGGUUUAAAGGGUGCGUAGGCGGUUAUAUAAGUCAGUGCUGAAAUAUCCCGGCUUAACCGGGAGGGUGGCAUUGAUACUGUAUGACUUGAGUAAAGUUGAGGUUGGCGGAAUUGACGGUGUAGCGGUGAAAUGCUUAGAUAUCGUCAAGAACACCGAUAGUGAAGACAGCUAACUAAGCUUUAACUGACGCUGAGGCACGAAAGUGUGGGGAUCAAACAGG
rnacentral:rRNA from 1 species